UACAGAGGUCCCAAGCGUUGUUCGGAUUCACUGGGCGUAAAGGGUGCGUAGGUAGCGGUGUAAGUUUGAUGUGAAAUCUCCGGGCUCAACCCGGAAAAUGCAUUGAAUACUACAUUGCUGGAGGUUUGGAGGGGGGACUGGAAUUCUUGGUGUAGCAGUGAAAUGCGUAGAUAUCAAGAGGAACACCAGUGGCGAAGGCGAGUCCCUGGACAACACCUGACACUGAGGCACGAAAGCCGGGGGAGCAAACAGG
rnacentral:rRNA from 1 species